rnacentral:rRNA from 1 species
UACGAAGGGGGCUAGCGUUGCUCGGAAUCACUGGGCGUAAAGCGCACGUAGGCGGGUCGUUAAGUCGGGGUGAAAUCCUGGAGCUCAACUCCAGAACUGCCUUCGAUACUGGCGAUCUCGAGUUCGGGAGAGGUGAGUGGAACUGCGAGUGUAGAGGUGAAAUUCGUAGAUAUUCGCAAGAACACCAGUGGCGAAGGCGGCUCACUGGCCCGAUACUGACGCUGAGGUGCGAAAGCGUGGGGAGCA